AACGAACGCUGGCGGCAUGCCUAACACAUGCAAGUCGAACGAGACCUUCGGGUCUAGUGGCGCACGGGUGCGUAACGCGUGGGAACCUGCCCUUAGGUUCGGAAUAACUCCCCGAAAGGGGUGCUAAUACCGGAUAAUGUCUCCGGACCAAAGAUUUAUCGCCUUUGGAUGGGCCCGCGUUGGAUUAGCUAGUUGGUAGGGUAAAAGCCUGCCAAGGCGACGAUCCAUAGCUGGUCUGAGAGGAUGAUCAGCCACACUGGGACUGAGACACGGCCCAGACUCCUACGGGAGGCAGCAGUGGGGAAUAUUGGACAAUGGGCGAAAGCCUGAUCCAGCAAUGCCGCGUGAGUGAUGAAGGCCUUAGGGUUGUAAAGCUCUUUUACCCGGGAUGAUAAUGACAGUACCGGGAGAAUAAGCUCCGGCUAACUCCGUG
rnacentral:rRNA from 1 species